GUGAACGCUGGCGGUAGGCCUAACACAUGCAAGUCGAACGGCAGCACAGUAAGAGCUUGCUCUUACGGGUGGCGAGUGGCGGACGGGUGAGGAAUACAUCGGAAUCUACUUUUUCGUGGGGGAUAACGUAGGGAAACUUACGCUAAUACCGCAUACGACCUACGGGUGAAAGCAGGGGAUCUUCGGACCUUGCGCGAUUGAAUGAGCCGAUGUCGGAUUAGCUAGUUGGCGGGGUAAAGGCCCACCAAGGCGACGAUCCGUAGCUGGUCUGAGAGGAUGAUCAGCCACAAUGGAACUGAGACACGGUCCAGACUCCUACGGGAGGCAGCAGUGGGGAAUAUUGGACAAUGGGCGCAAGCCUGAUCCAGCCAUACCGCGUGGGUGAAGAAGGCCUUCGGGUUGUAAAGCCCUUUUGUUGGGAAAGAAAAGCAGCAGGUUAAUACCCCGCUGUUCUGACGGUACCCAAAGAAUAAGCACCGGCUAACUUCGUG
rnacentral:rRNA from 1 species